GACGAACGCUGGCGGCGUGCCUAAUACAUGCAAGUCGAACGCAGUGGGGACGGGUGAGUAACCCGUGGGUAACCUCCCAUCAGAGGGGAUAACACUUGGAAACAGGUGCUAAACCGAUACUGAUGGAUGGACCCGCGGUGCAUUAGCUAGUUGGUGAGGUAACGGCUCACCAAGGCCACGAUGGAUAGCUGGCCUGAGAGGGUGAGCGGCCACACUGGGACUGAGACACGGCCCAGACUCCUACGGGAGGAAGCAGUGGGGAAUAUUGCGCAAUGGACGAAAGUCUGACCGAGCAACGCCGCGUGAGUGAAGAAGGUUUUCGGGUCGUAAAGCUCUGUUGGCGGGGAGGCGUUAUCUAACCAGGAAGCCACGGCUAACUACGUGCCAGCAGCCGCGGUAAUUC
rnacentral:rRNA from 1 species